GCCAGACUCCUACGGGAGGCAGCAGUGGGGGAUAUUGCACAAUGGGGGGAACCCUGAUGCAGCGACGCCGCGUGGGUGAAGGAGCGUUUCGGCGCGUAAAGCCCUAUCGGCAGGGAAGAAGGAGGACGGUACCUGACUAAGAAGCCCCGGCUAACUACGUGCUAGCAGCCGCGGUAAUACGUAGGGGGCAAGCGUUAUCCGGAUUUACUGGGUGUAAAGGGGGCGCAGACGGCAGAGCAAGCCAGGAGUGAAAGCCCGGGGCCCAACCCCGGGACUGCUCUUGGAACUGCGCGACUGGAGUGCAGGAGGGGCAGGCGGAAUUCCUGGUGUAGCGGUGAAAUGCGUAGAUAUCAGGAGGAACACCGGUGGCGAAGGCGGCCUGCUGGACUGCGACUGACGUUGAGGCCCGAAAGCGUGGGGAGCAAACAGGAUUAGAUACCCGGGUAAA
rnacentral:rRNA from 1 species